AAAUGCCCCUCUUUUCUAUGAAUACCUAACAGUCCAAGUGAGGAGAAAGACAGCGACUUGUAUAGCAGAGGCAUAUCACCUUGCAAAGACCUUCAAUGGAAGGAGUUUAAACAUCUGAUUCUCUCAAUUCUAGCUUGCAGAGAAAAAAAAUCUUUACCUGGUAGAAAAAAAAAACACAGUGAGAAACAAUUAAAUAAAUAUUCCGUGUUUCCUUGUAAUCUUUAAAGGCCUCAUUAUUGAAAAAUUUUACAAACACUUUCAAAAAAUAUAUGUCUAACUAAAUGGCACUUCACUAAGAUCUGCUUUAAUUUGCAUCCAUACAAAAAUAAAGCAAUUUAAUGGUACAUAUAAUGUAGCUGAGAACAGAGUUCAUUCUGAAUGCUUACGGCUCUCUUGACCUAUAGAUAAUCAGAGUGGAUUUGAAAAGCAGCUAGAAACAGAACAUGAACCUCUGAGGCAUCUCCCCCUGUGGUCCGGAGAACAAAACUGUGAUCUUUAAGGACAGAUGUAAAGAAGAAAAAUUAUAUUAGUUGUGAUUCCUGAGCCACGUCCCCUGAACACGACUGAUGCAUUCAAUCUGUUCUGUCACAACAGGAAAACAUUCCGGGGUCCUCUUUCCUCCUACUCUUUCUCCCAGGCAGAACCAGAAGUGCUUUGGGCCACCACUGCCCUUUGCCUUCUACAGCAGCUCCCUUUGGUUGCCCACGGCAGUGCAACAGGGAGAGACACAGCGGGUUUGUUUGCUUGUUUGUUUUUAAUUUGUCUUGUGGCCACAGAACUUUUGGUACACUCACAUCGUGUUUUCAAGUCUAAGUUGGACUGCAGGCAAGGUCUUCAAAGCUGCCGUGCUGCUGCCCUCUGAACAUCAGCAAAUGCAAGGGAUGCACCCCUAGUCACCUCAUGAGACAUGAGACUCAGACUCGCAGCACUACAGUUGGAGGCUGUCCUACAAGAAGACAGCAAUGCUGCGCUCCAACUUCAGCUUGAAUCACAUCCUUCUUUAUGCUAAUUUAAUUGUACAUAAAGAAAAUCAACACCCAGAAGCGAAGCUGUACAUUGCAGCUGUACUCAGACAAUGACAGAGAAGUAAAGGAGGAAACCACGCUACUGAAGAAAA